CUGAACCAGCCAAGUAGCGUGAAGGAUGACUGCCCUAUGGGUCGUAAACUUCUUUUAUACGGGAAUAAAGUGAGCCACGUGUGGCUUUUUGUAUGUACCGUAUGAAUAAGGAUCGGCUAACUCCGUGCCAGCAGCCGCGGUAAUACGGAGGAUCCGAGCAUUAUCCGGAUUUAUUGGGUUUAAAGGGAGCGUAGAUGGAUGUUUAAGUCAGUUGUGAAAGUUUGCGG
rnacentral:rRNA from 1 species